UAAACUUCUAUCUGACUAGUUUGUGUUUCUAUACAUUUAAAAAGUCAUAUCAGUUUCAACUGGUGCAGAUCAUCAAAGUAUUGCAAUUAAAAUCCCAAAAUGUGUUCAUUAUACAAAUUUGCUAACUUUUUUUUUUCACCUUUUCAAACAAUGGAGUUGUUUCUUUCAAAAUGGAAUUUCUUUUGGUUUAGUAUUAUAUCAAGCGACUGUAAUUUUCCACCUCCACUUUAGUUUAUCAAGCCAAAUGUAUUUUGUGUUGUGUCCACCUUGUUUCUUUUCUUUUUUUUUUUUACAUUUCCUCUCGCUCUUUCCUUUGAUUCAUAAGGACAUUGUGUACAUUGGCAGCAGUGUAAAGGCUUCGGAGAGGCACUUCGCAUUCGUGGAGCCAUGAAAAGGACACAAAUCGCUGCUUUUUUAUCAGCCAGCAGAACCUGUUGCUGCUUAUGGACCUCCUAGAAACGUAAUGCUGUAAAAGAACCGGCCCGCGUGAGACGUUACGGGACUGGCUUCUCGGGCCGGUUCUACCAGCACAGAUGUUCUGCUACAGAUGAAAUCCCUCUGGACCUGCUCGGUGCAUAUCUUGCACCUGAUGCAGAUGCUGAAUAAAAACAAAAAAACGACAAAAAUAUAAACAUUGUAAAAAGGGCUUUCUCUGUUCAUGCUUAACUAUACACCAGAGGCAUUGCAUUCCUGGUUUUGUAUAAAAGCUUCCUUUUGUGUGCGUGUGAGGGAAUAGUUAGAUGUUAACAAAAUGGAAUUAUUAUGUGACAAUAAAUGCCUUUGAGUACUUCAAGUGAGACGUGCAUUAGGGACGUGGCCUUGUGACGCGUUCUAUUUAAGUUACUUUUUUUUUUUUUCCCCAGCAUUUAUAUGCCAUUUAUGCAGGGGAAUGGGGCUGGUUUUAUGUAGGUUAACAGUAUGAUCGGCUUCGGAUGAGAAUGCAUCACAAAUCAGGAAUGUAGUCAAAAAAGACAAUAAAUACAUAAUAAUUGUACUUUUAAUGGUGAAUACUGACAGCGCGGUUAUAAUCAGCCGGGGUGGCAAUUUUAAUUUUGAUCUUGUAUUUUUCUGGUGAAUCCUUAUGAUUGGAGUUUAAAGGGUAUGGUUUAUUUUUUUAUAUAUAUUGUCUCUGACCAAAUGCAAAGACAAUAU